rnacentral:rRNA from 1 species
UACAGAGGGUGCGAACGUUGCUCGGAAUUACUGGGCGUAAAGCGCAUGUAGGCGGAUCCAUAAGUCGGGCGUGAAAUCCCCAGGCUCAACCUGGGAACUGCGUUCGAAACUGUGGGUCUAGAGUGUCGGAGAGGAUGGCGGAAUUCCUGGUGUAGAGGUGAAAUUCGUAGAUAUCAGGAGGAACACCGGUGGCGAAGGCGGCCAUCUGGACGACAACUGACGCUGAGAUGCGAAAGCGUGGGGAGCAAACAGG